CUUGGGUAAAUAGGCCACAUGUGGGGCCCCUGUUCCGCUGUAGUUUUCAAUCGCUAGACGCAUAUGGGAGAUACAACUUCCCGACUGGAUCAAGACAUUUGUGCGAGAAAUACUGAAACCGUCGCACAGCAGUUGAAGCAGGCAGUUCUACCGGUCGGGCCCCUCAGUGUCCACAUCAGCCGAUUUCCAUAGAGGUUACUGUUGAGGCUUGUGACAUUUACAGAGGAAUUUGAGUCUCACGCCCUGUUAAAAAAGAACAUCGGGUCUUUGGGUUGGUCCCACAGAGGACACCUCCUGUGGCAGCCAUCUUGGAAAUGGCGAUAUAGCACUGGCAUGGU